ACAGGAUCUUUUUUUUUUACAUGUUAGAAAAUCGCUCCUUUGUUGCUUUUUAACCUCCUCAAACUGUAUUUCAAUUUCUUGUUUAUCGUAUCCCUUUUUGUAAAAUUGUUCCUUUAAUACCUGUGAUUGUUUAAUAAAUUCAGAUGUCCCCUCUGAUGAGCUUAUGAGCGAAACGCGCGUCAGGGCAACCAGGACUUUAUCAAAUUGACCACUAACUUACCUAGACGUUACAGCAGAAUGCUCUAUUACACUGCUAUCCAGCUCUGUUAACUCUCGGAUUUGCCGAGUUUAUAUAUUUUUCAUCUUCUACUUAUUAUUUUUUUCACAGGCCACUUUACACUCCAUACUUACCCUGCGCUGAUUUCUCCACUCUGCUGUACCACGAAUGGGGAGGGUGGUUUCCUCUGCUAUAUACAAGCCAGGAAAAGCUUUUUUGUUAAGGGGUGCCCUCGAAGGCACAGUAGGGAAAGUUCAACUAUAUCUCAGAUGAACUAUCUCUUCUUCCCUCCCUCUUUUAACACCCAGCCAUUUAAGCCUGCAAUGAUGUUAAAACUUCUAUCAUUAGCAUUAAUAUCUGGACGCUUAAUAUAGACCUUUUAGAGGUUCUAUAGGAAUAUACUGCUUCCCGGAGCAGGCUGAUCAACACGGGUUAAAAUAAUUAUACAAUCUGUACCGGCUAUAAUUUAUCCCUAUAUACACACUUACCCUCCGCUGAGUCCAUCUCUUUCCUGGGCUAUAUCAGAAGUGGGGAGGACAGCUCAGCAGGGUACAUAUCAGACAGGGUAGGUGGUUUGCAUAAGGGGUACUCUCGUCUGUCUGUCACUGUUA